GUCCUAAUAGUAUAACAAUUACUGUGGUCUUGUAAACCACCAAUGGAAACUAAUUUCCUUAGGACA
rnacentral:tRNA from 1 species